UACGUAGGGUGCGAGCGUUAAUCGGAUUUACUGGGCGUAAAGCGUGCGCAGGCGGCCCGUUAAGACAGGUGUGAAAUCCCUGGGCUCAACCUAGGAAUUGCGCUUGUGACUGGCGGGCUCGAGUACGGUAGAGGGGGGUGGAAUUCCUGGUGUAGCAGUGAAAUGCGUAGAGAUCAGGAGGAACACCGAUGGCGAAGGCAGCCCCCUGGGCCUGUACUGACGCUGAGGAGCGAAAGCUAGGGGAGCAAACGGG
rnacentral:rRNA from 1 species